UACAGAGGGUGCGAGCGUUGUUCGGAAUUAUUGGGCGUAAAGCGCUUGUAGGCGGCACGUCAAGUCGCGUGUGAAAUCCCCAGGCUUAACCUGGGAAGUGCGCGCGAAACUGACGAGCUUGAGUGCCGGAGAGGGUCGCGGAAUUCCCGGUGUAGAGGUGAAAUUCGUAGAUAUCGGGAGGAACACCUGUGGCGAAAGCGGCUCACUGGACCAUAACUGACGCUGAUGCACGAAAGCUGGGGGAGCAAACAGG
rnacentral:rRNA from 1 species